UGCAUGGUUGUCGUCAGCUCGUGUCGUGAGAUGUUGGGUUAAGUCCCGCAACGAGCGCAACCCUUGAUCUUAGUUGCCAGCAUUCAGUUGGGCACUCUAAGGUGACUGCCGGUGACAAACCGGAGGAAGGUGGGGAUGACGUCAAAUCAUCAUGCCCCUUAUGACCUGGGCUACACACGUGCUACAAUGGAUGGUACAAAGGGCUGCAAACCUGCGAAGGUAAGCGAAUCCCAUAAAGCCAUUCUCAGUUCGGAUUGCAGGCUGCAACUCGCCUGCAUGAAGCCGGAAUCGCUAGUAAUCGCGGAUCAGCAUGCCGCGGUGAAUACGUUCCCGGGCCUUGUACACACCGCCCGUCACACCACGAGAGUUUGUAACACCCGAAGUCGGUGAGGUAACCUUCAUGGAGCCAGCCGCCUAAGGUGGGACAGAUGAUUGGGGUGAAGUCGUAACAAGGUAGCCGUAUCGGAAGGUGCGG
rnacentral:rRNA from 1 species